rnacentral:rRNA from 1 species
UAAUACGUAGGGUGCGAGCGUUAAUCGGAAUUACUGGGCGUAAAGCGUGCGCAGGCGGCUUUGUAAGACAGGUGUGAAAUCCCCGGGCUUAACCUGGGAAUGGCGCUUGUGACUGCAAGGCUCGAGUGCGGCAGAGGGGGGUGGAAUUCCACGUGUAGCAGUGAAAUGCGUAGAGAUGUGGAGGAACACCGAUGGCGAAGGCAGCCCCCUGGGUCGACACUGACGCUCAUGCACGAAAGCGUGGGGAGCAAACAGGAUUAGAUACCCUGGUAGUCCACGCCCUAAACGAUGCCAACUAGUUGUUGGGGAAGGAGACUUCCUUAGUAACGAAGCUAACGCGUGAAGUUGGCCGCCUGGGGAGUACGGUCGCAAGAUUAAAACUUAAAUGAAUUGACGG